UUGGUACGCUGCUACGAGUUGUUUCUGAGCGCUGCCUCUCAAACACCUGUGAUGGAAAGUAAUAAAAAUCAUAACGCAAGACCUAGAAAGCGGGUCACGUUUGACUUAAAAGGGAGACGUUUAAGAAGAAUUUCAAAAAAAUGUAAACCACGUACAUACACAACCCCUCCCCCAACCCCAAGAUUUUUAAGAAAAGAAACCACUUUAAAAGAAUCCUUUGAAAAUUUACAACAUUCAGACCCAAAAGAAACCAAACAUCAAAACAAAAAUCUCUUCGUUCGUUUGUGGAACAGGAUAUUUAAAUCAAAGAGACAAAAGUAAAAAAAAAAAAAAAAUGUGACACGUUUAUCUGAGGAUACACAACCAAAAGAAAAUCGGGAAGAAGGAAAUUAACAUGGCAGUAUUGUUUUGACCAAUCUUCUUGCCAAGAAUGGACUGAUAUUCGUGAAUUGUUAUUCGUGAAUUAAAAUUAAUUGUAACCAUGUUAUGGAACUUUUUGCUCUGCAUUAUGUUGUAUUUGUUUCUUGACAGAAUCAUCUGAAAGUGGCACAAAAUGUUCGUUUCCAGUAUAACUUUAUGUGUGAAUAUGUAAAUAAAGUCUCAAACUUCAA